AUGCGAUAAGUAAUGUGAAUUGCAGAAUCUCGUGAAUCAUCGAAUCUUUGAACGCACAUUGCGCCCUAUGGUAUUCCGUAGGGCAUGCCUGUCUGAGCGUCAGCUCCCCCCCACUCAAGCAUCUUUGUGAAGCUUGGAUUACUUUGAAGAAGUGGCCUUCUUGCAAGGCUGCUCUUCAGAAAUUCAUCGGCAGUAUGGUUUGUCUCUCAACCAGACGUAAUAAUAAUAAAACCGUCUAUUGGGGAAUCAUUGUACUUGCCCAAACACACCCAUCUUUAACUGGGUGACCUCAGAUCAGGUAGGGAUACCCGCUGAACUUAA
rnacentral:rRNA from 1 species